rnacentral:lncRNA from 1 species
AUUCUGACUUUGCAUCUUGUGCCAAGUGUACCCAGGCACAACUGAGGUCCUGUGGUGGUACCUCCUUUAAUCAAACCAGUGGUGGACAAGAGCAUGGCCAGUGCACUUCUCCAUUCUGGCAGGGAAGGAGAGUCUUCCACGACCCAAGACCUGAGAAAACGUUUAUAGCCUCUGGUUUUUAAACUGGAGUUCAAGGACAUCAUAGGAUGUCUAGCGGCCCUCCCUGUCUUCCUCAUUUACCACUCAGCAUAGAUUACGUGGCACAACAUGAUGCUAUAACAAAAUAAAAUUCUAGUGACAGUGGAUAAUACCCCCCAAUGUCUUCACUUCACUUAUUUUUGUUUCAUUGACUGAAAGGAAACACCAGCUGCACAUAUUGUGACAAGAGAUGCUAGAUGUUUUCACAUCUGGCACGCCAGGGUCACAUGCCAGUUGCUUGAAAGCAUUUUUCACCCAUAAGAGUUGAGUUUCCCAGAGAACUCUGACCCCUCAGCCCUCCACCACAAGAAGAUCCUCAGUACUCCCUGGUGAGGAGCACUCGCUGAGCCCACUGCCCACCUUGGCUCUCCCUCUUUGUUCUCACCACCUGAGCUGCUGCUCCCUCAGGGAGCCUGGAGGACGAGGCCCCGUGAAGCAGCACCCUGGCCACAGCUUGCCUUCCCCAGGCCACCAGGCCUCACCUCGUAGAAGCCGCGCACCAGCGCCUCGGUUUGCUGUACCACGCCGCGCUCCACCCGCCACUUCACCAUGCGCUCGAUGUACUCCUUCUUGUUCUUCUCCGUCACCUGUGUGUUGGCUCCUCCAGACUUCAACUCCCUUUCCGUGACCUUGUAGGAAAACAGAAAUAUUGCGAUGCUUGUCAGUUCAGCUUAUCUCUCAGGGAGGUACACUGAUUUUAGGGGGAUGACUGUAUGCCAAAAAUCCUCUACAGGGCAUGAUAAAAUACUUGUUACCACCCAGCAUCCAUAUUCUUUGGAAUGUCUGAUUUUUAGCGGCCCAGUUAAAGACUUUAUUUUCCAACCUCUCUCACAGCUAGGUGUGGCAUGUAAGUAAAUUCUGUCCAAUGGGAUGUAAGCAGAAGUGUAUGGCACUGUCAGGAGGCCUCCUUGAAGGGAUGGGCUGUGUGUUCCUUUGUCCGGCUGCACUGAACACAGUUGUGAUGGUUGGGAUGCUGUACGCAUCUGGGCUAAGAGUGCAGAGGGCCUACCCUAGCGAUAGCAGUGGGGAGACCUGGAAGGAGCUUGAUCCCUGAGGAUUUUAUCAAACAGAGCUUUUUUUGUUUUUGUUUUGAGACAGGGUCUCACUCUGUCACCCAGGCUGGAGUGCAGUGGUACAAUCUCAGCUCUCUGCAACCUCUCCCUCCCAGGCUCAAGCGAUUCUCCCACCUCAGCCUCCCAAGUAACUGGGACUAUAGGUGCAUGCCACCACACCUGACUAAUUUUUUUUUAUUUUUAGUACAGACAGGGUUUCGCCAUGUUGGCCAGGCUGGUCUUGAGCUCCUGGCCUCAAGCGAUCCACCCGCCUUGGCCUCCUGAAGUGCUAGGAUUAUAGGCGUGGACCACCACACUCAGCCUCAACAGCGCUUUUAUAUGAGAAAAAAAAGCUUCUAUUAAUUUCAACAGGGUCAUUUUUGGCUUCUUCACUAGUAGCUGAAUCUAAUCCUAAAGCCUAUGGUGUCUUUCACCUGCAUCCCUCUGCUCUCCACUGUCUAACAACUUGACAAAAGAAGGGCUGCAAUUCAAUCUUCUAAAACCACUCAUUGUUCUUGGUGACCUCCUUUUGAAGAGAAAUGAGAUAAACUUUAAACAGGUAUACAGGUUGACCCUUGAGCAGCAUGGGUUUGGACUGCAUGGGUCCACUCGUACAUGGAUUUUUUUCAAUAAAUAUAUUGGAAAUUUUUUUGGAGACUUACAACAAUUUGAAAAAACUCGCAGAUGACCUGCAUAUCUAGAAAAUUAAUAGAAGCUUUUUUAAAAUAAAAAAAGUUAGAAAUGUAAUGAGUCCAUAAAAUAUAUGUAGAUACUAGUCUAUUUUAUCAUUUACUAACAUAAAAUGUACACAAAUCUAUUAUUAUAUUAUUAAAAAGUUAAAAUUUAUGAAAAUGUACACACACAAACACUUAGAGCCUGUACAUGGUGCCACUGGCAGUUGAGACAAAUACAAACAUCAAAAUGCGGUAUUAAAUCAUAACUGCAUAAAAUUAACUGUAGUACAUACUGUACUAUUGUAAUAAUUUUGUAGUCACCUCCUGCUGUUUUUUGCGAUGAGCGCAAGUGUUGCUGAUGAAUAGCCUCUCUCCAGUAAAUUGUGUAUCACAGUAAAAAGUGAUCUUUCUUGUUUACUGCAUAUUUUCCACUGUGUUUAAGUGCAAUAUUGUAAACUUUGAAUAACAUUGUGGGACCCACACGAAGGGCCACUAAUGAUGCUGGAAAUACUCCCAAGAAGCAGAGAAAAAUCAUGAUAUUACAAGGGAAAAUUGAAUUACUUGAUAGGCACCAUAGAUUGAGGUCUGCAGAUGUGGUUGCCCAUCUUUUCAAAAUAAAUGAAUCCAACAUAGGGACCACUGUAAAAAAAGAAAAGGAAAUUCAUGAAGCCAUCACUGCAGCUAUGCCAGCAGGUGUGAAAACCUGGCACUUUUUGUGGAAUAUCUUUUUAUCUCAUAUUGAAAACACAGCUUUUUUUUUUUNNNNNNNNNNNNNNNNNNNNNNNNNNNNNNAGGCUGGAGUGCAGUGGUGCAAUCCUGGCCUGCUGCAAUCUCUGCCUCCUGGGUUCAAGCAACUCUCCUGCCUCAGCCUCCCGAGUAGUGGAGAUUACAGGCACGUGCCACCACACCUGGUUAAUUUUUGUAUUUUUAGUAGAGAUGGGGUUUCACUAUGUUGGCCAGGAUGGUCUCGAUCUCUUGACCUUGCGAUCUGCCCACCUUGGCCUCCCAAAGUGCUGGGAUUACAGGCAUGAGCCACCAUGCCUGGCUGAAAACACAGCUUUUAUGUGAGUGCAGUAUUGCUAGAACAAUGGCAUACAUACCUGUAGACUCUAAUAUGAUUCUAGAUAAAGCAAAGUCAUUAUAUGAUAACUCAAAGCAAAAGGAAGGUGAAGGAUCUAAAGUUGGAAAAUUUAAUGCCAGCAAAGGAUGGUUUGAUAAUUUUAGAAACAGGUUUGGCUGAAAAAAAUGUCAAGAUAAGAAGAGAAGCAGCUCGUGCUGACCAAGAGGCAGCAGACGAAUUCCCAGACACCGUUAAGAAAAUCACUGAGGAGAAAGGAUAUUGGCCUGUACAGGCUUUUAACGCAGGCGAAAGUGCCCUGUUCUGGUAAAAAAGCACCACAAAGGUCUCUUAUUAGUAAGGAAGAUAAGUGAGCACCAGGAUUUAGGGCAGGAAGUGAUAGGCUAACUCUGCUGUUUUGUGCAAACACAUUUGGAUUUAUGAUCAGGAUUGCCCUUAUCCAUUAAAGCUUUAACCCCUGGUCUAGCAUCCUAUGCUUUCCCCACCAUGCGGGCCUUGCCUAUCUCUGGCACCUACUUUCAUAACUGGAGUCUUCCUGGUGUCCACUCUAAGUAGGUUUUCACCUAAUCGGGGAUUUAGUGGUGAAUUUUCUCAGAUCCUCCCUGGUGGAAUUUCCAACUAAUCUAUCUCCAAUGCCUUUUAUGUGGCUCUUUUUAGACUCAGAGGGUUUCCUACUCUAUAGCUGCUAUAAAGAUGUUAAAAUGAAUAGAUUAUCUGA